rnacentral:sRNA from 1 species
CCACUGCAGAGCAGCUCAAAAACGUAACCAGAGCCACCCAUCACACCUUCCCGGCAGGACUUUGAGACCAACGAUGAGCUCAAAUGCAAGGUGAUCGGCUUCCUGGAAGAAGUCAUGCACGACCCGGAGCUCCUGACCCAGGAGCGGAAGGCUGCAGCCAACAUCAUCAGGACUCUGACCCAGGAGGACCCAGGUGACAACCAGAUCACGCUGGAGGAGAUCACGCAGAUGGCUGAAGGCGUGAAGGCUGAGCCCUUUGAAAACCACUCAGCCCUGGAGAUCGCGGAGCAGCUGACCCUGCUAGAUCACCUCGUCUUCAAGAAGAUUCCUUAUGAGGAGUUCUUCGGACAAGGAUGGAUGAAACUGGAAAAGAAUGAAAGGACCCCUUAUAUCAUGAAAACCACUAAGCACUUCAAUGACAUCAGUAACUUGAUUGCUUCAGAAAUCAUCCGCAACGAGGACAUCAACGCCAGGGUGAGCGCCAUCGAGAAGUGGGUGGCCGUAGCUGACAUAUGCCGCUGCCUCCACAACUACAAUGCCGUACUGGAGAUCACCUCGUCCAUGAACCGCAGUGCAAUCUUCCGGCUCAAAAAGACGUGGCUCAAAGUCUCUAAGCAGACUAAAGCUUUGAUUGAUAAGCUCCAAAAGCUUGUGUCAUCUG